rnacentral:rRNA from 1 species
UACGUAGGUGGCAAGCGUUGUUCGGAAUUACUGGGCGUAAAGCGCGUGUAGGCGGCUCUUCAAGUCAGACGUGAAAGCCCCGGGCUUAACUCGGGAACUGCGUUUGAUACUGUCGAGCUAGAGUGUGGAAGGGGCGAUUGGAAUUCCGUGUGUAGCGGUGAAAUGCGUAGAUAUACGGAGGAACACCAGAGGCGAAGGCGGAUCGCUGGGCCAACACUGACGCUGAGACGCGGAAGCCAGGGGAGCAAACGGG